AGCGAACGCUGGCGGCAGGCCUAACACAUGCAAGUCGAACGAACUCUUCGGAGUUAGUGGCGGACGGGUGAGUAACACGUGGGAACGUGCCUUUUGGUUCGGAAUAACUCAGGGAAACUUGUGCUAAUACCGAAUGUGCCCUUCGGGGGAAAGAUUUAUCGCCAUUAGAGCGGCCCGCGUCUGAUUAGCUAGUUGGUGAGGUAACGGCUCACCAAGGCGACGAUCAGUAGCUGGUCUGAGAGGAUGACCAGCCACACUGGGACUGAGACACGGCCCAGACUCCUACGGGAGGCAGCAGUGGGGAAUCUUGCGCAAUGGGCGAAAUCCUGACGCAGCCAUGCCGCGUGAAUGAUGAAGGUCUUAGGAUUGUAAAAUUCUUUCACCGGGGACGAUAAUGACGGUACCCGGAGAAGAAGCCCCGGCUAACUUCGUG
rnacentral:rRNA from 1 species